rnacentral:rRNA from 1 species
AUUGAACGCUGGCGGAAUGCUUUACACAUGCAAGUCGAACGGCAGCACGGGUGCUUGCACCUGGUGGCGAGUGGCGAACGGGUGAGUAAUACAUCGGAACGUACCCUGACGUGGGGGAUAACGUAGCGAAAGUUACGCUAAUACCGCAUACGUCCUGAGGGAGAAAGCAGGGGAUCGUAAGACUUUGCGCGUUGGGAGCGGCCGAUGGCGGAUUAGCUAGUUGGUAGGGUAAAGGCCUACCAAGGCGACGAUCCGUAGCGGGUCUGAGAGGACGACCCGCCACACUGGAACUGAGACACGGUCCAGACUCCUACGGGAGGCAGCAGUGGGGAAUUUUGGACAAUGGGCGAAAGCCUGAUCCAGCCAUUCCGCGUGAGUGAAGAAGGCCUUCGGGUUGUAAAGCUCUUUCGGCAGGGAAGAAACGGUUUUGGAUAAUACCCAGAACUAAUGACGGUACCUGAAGAAGAAGCACCGGCUAACUACGUGCCAGCAGCCGCCGCCG